UACAGAGGUCCCAAGCGUUGUUCGGAUUCACUGGGCGUAAAGGGUGCGUAGGCGGUUGGAUAAGUCUGAUGUGAAAUCUUCGAGCUCAACUCGGAAACUGCAUCGGAAACUAUUCGGCUAGAGGAUUGGAGGGGAGACUGGAAUUCUCGGUGUAGCAGUGAAAUGCGUAGAUAUCGAGAGGAACACCAGUGGCGAAGGCGAGUCUCUGGACAGUUACCGACGCUGAGGCACGAAGGUCAGGGGAGCAAACGGG
rnacentral:rRNA from 1 species